AUCGUUCAUCUUUGAAAAAAGACGGAAGUAGGCAAAAGCCGAAGGAACGCGAG
ncrna:unclassified sequences Glutamine riboswitch